GAGAAAUGCUGAAGGUCCAAACGAAAGCAGACAGCUUUGACCUAAAACAUUUCCCACUUGAAGGAUUCAGGCACCUAAGAAUCAGUGGAUUCCGUUAUUUCCUCCAAACCGAGAUGCAGGCCACCUGCCGAUGAGAAUAACCUUCCUAAGCCAGACGACACAGGGCAGCCUGACGUGGUCUAUGCCUCUCUGGAUUCUGCAGGAGUAGAGGUGGAGCCAGCAAUUUUACCUUCUUCUCAGGGGUGCUGUUCAGGUUUGUCAAGGAAUUGCUACAACACCCCUCCUUUGUAAAUUUUUAAAAAUUAAAGCAUAGUUGCUUUCCACGUUGUGUCAAUUUCUGCUGUACAGCAAAGUGACCCAGUCAUAGAUAUAUUUGUAUACACCCUUUCUUUUUCAGAUUGGCAAACUGGACAAAACUUAGUAAUUGGGCUGAGUAACGCAUCUUCAAAGCAUUGAAUCCAGAAAGCCCACUGCGAAGGUCUCUUGGCCCAGUGUUUCCAGACCGUAAAUGAGAUGUUUGUGUUGGAAGAGAUCUGAAGAGCAUCCAGUCUUGCGGUUCUCAACUCCAGAGAGGUGGUCAGAUGCGCUGUAUGAGACCUUCGCUCAAGUGACUGGCGGCAUAGCUAUUGACUACAAGGGCUGAUUGUCCAAAAAGCCAUGGAGGAAAUUUUCCUAAAAGUCAUAGGGUUAGAUGGUGGAUGGAAGGAUCAAAACCCACUGCAGUAUGGAAUCACAGUCUCUUAGGAAAGGCUCACAGGAUUUAAAAAGUCCACUCCCUAGACAGACACACCUGCAUCCCAGGAGCAUCUAAGAGAAGUCUCUCCCCGCCCCCCCUUCUCUGCAAGCUAAGAUCCCAUCCUUGCUCUUGAAGAAGUAAGCUUCCACAGUGAGCUCGAAGACAGGGUCUCCCUUGUAAGAGGAUGCUUUGAUUUAGAUUUGAAGUUCAAAGCCCCCAUAAAAGAUAGAAAUGUCCACGUAAGAAUGUCUGGAAUGGCUGUAUCAGGCUUUCUUGAGGACUGAGAACCUCUCGUUGAUAAGAGAGGUAUUGCAAUGUGGUCCCUGGGACUGCCGUGUGACAGGAUCGGAAGAAUGUGACAGCUUCGUGUGGAAUGACAUUAAAAAUCAGCAAAUAUAUACAAAAUGACUAAGUGAGUUACAAAAUAUAAUUGUUCUAAUGCUCAGAUUGUCAUUAAGUUUUUAUAAAAUAUUUUUGAGGCAGCUCAAAAUAAGAUGGCUUUACUCUAUUUUCUUUUCCCAGCAGAUUUAAAUCGAGCUUUCCUCUUUGCAAGCCCCUGGUGCCAAGCCUUCCAUAUGUCUCACAUAUCAGGGGUACCAAUGAAAAGCUUUAUUGCCCUUUCCUAGACCUAUCCUCAGGAGCUAGUCGUCUUUCUGGAAAUUUACCGUAAGACCUGUGCCAGCAAGUUUCAUGCAUUGGAUGGUCCCUGAUUUUAGUCAGGAGGUCCUAUUUCCA
rnacentral:lncRNA from 1 species